rnacentral:rRNA from 1 species
CAGUAGCCACGGUAAUACGGAGGGUGCAAGCGUUAAUCGGAAUUACUGGGCGUAAAGCAUGCGUAGGCGGUUCGUUAAGUCUGUGGUGAAAGCCCCGGGCUCAACCUGGGAAUGGCAAUGGAUACUGGCGAGCUAGAGUGUGUCAGAGGAUGGUGGAAUUCCCGGUGUAGCGGUGAAAUGCGUAGAGAUCGGGAGGAACAUCAGUGGCGAAGGCGGCCAUCUGGGACAACACUGACGCUGAGGCACGAAAGCGUGGGGAGCAAACAGGAUUAGAUACCCGGGUAGUCCCUGUCUCUUAUAC